UAUAAGCAAUUAUACCGCGAAACUGCGAAUGGCUCAUUAAAUCAGUUAUCGUUUAUUUGAUAGCACCUUACUACUUGGAUAACCGUGGUAAUUCUAGAGCUAAUACAUGCUGAAAAUCCCAACUUCGGAAGGGAUGUAUUUAUUAGAUUAAAAACCAAUGCCCUCCGGGGCUCACUGGUGAUUCAUAAUAACUUCUCGAAUCGCAUGGCCUUGCGCCGGCGAUGGUUCAUUCAAAUUUCUGCCCUAUCAACUUUCGACUGCUGGGUCUUGGCCAGCAAUGGUGACAACGGGUAACGGAGGGUUAGGGCUCGACCCCGGAGAAGGAGCCUGAGAGACGGCUACUACAUCCAAGGAAGGCAGCAGGCGCGCAAAUUACCCAAUCCCGACACGGGGAGGUAGUGACAAUAAAUACUGAUACAGGGCUCUUUUGGGUCUUGUAAUUGGAAUGAGUACAAUUUAAAUCCCUUAACGAGGAACAAUUGGAGGGCAAGUCUGGUGAAAUUGCUGGCGCCGGAAAUAGUAAGCCCGUCAAAUUACUAGUCGAGCAUUCGUCAUUGGCGGGAGAAUGCCGGCGAGACAACCCGGACCGGGGGAGGUUACGGAGCUCUAGCUCUAUGCUAACCCCGGGCAGAGCCGAUGUCUAGGCGACUUCGGCCUGUUUAGAGCGCGGAAGGGUGUCGGUCCUGUGCAUUUGGGCGUGCAAACGCCCCGGUGUUCAGGGCUUAAGGGACGUGCCAACCCCCUGCGAAAGCAGGGUAUCACCUCAAAGUGCCCGCCGCACGACGAGGCGAUGGGUCUCUCUCCGCGCGAGAGAGCCGUACUGUAAAAAAUGGCCAGCAGCCGCGGUAAUUCCAGCUCCAAUAGCGUAUAU
rnacentral:rRNA from 1 species